UAUACCACUGGAAUCCAUAUAUAAAUACCUCUCCAAUGAGUACCAAUAAUUGGUAUUGAGUGAAUAUGGACCAACCCAUGGCAAAUCGAACGUCAUACAUCCCGACGAAACUAAAUUCUUCUCGCAGAAACCUUUAAUCCGGUAUAUGUUCUAGGUACGUGUGCCUGAUUCCACUAUAAUCUUCUAACACAUGUUCCAGUACAUCUCUUAAAGUACUUACUUAACAUGUGAUGUUACCAGGUGAAAAUCUUUUGCACAAUUUGGAACAAAUUUACUCUUAUAAUGUCAGAGUAGGAUACCUAAUAUUGCAUUCUCGGCUUAGCUACAUCGGAACAACGCUUGGAUGUAUGCUCAUGAUUUGGCUUGUCAUCUUGUGUGUUAUUCACCGACCUUGAUGUGUUAUAUGCUAUGGGAAACCAUAUAUAACACCAUAAUUUGAUGUAGGCUGAUUAUUGAUCUACUUUUGGACAGUCGUAUAGAAUACUUCUUGACAAAUCUGAUAUCACUCACUUUUGUAUGUAUAUAAGAGGUUCACAGCAUAAUGCUCGAGUCGAUUUCAGAAUUUUGAAUGAAAUGGACCUAUGUGUAACAUAUUCAAGAUGGCAACCAUAAAGCUGUGCAAAAAAACUGAUCAUAAUGUAAAUGUUAUUUAUUUCAGCAAAUAUACAAAUCAAUUUCUUGGACGCAGGCUUGAUAUUUUGACAAAUUUUGCCGUUUCAGAUGUUUUAGUACAGCUACUAGUUAAGGUGAAUUUGCUGGGGGCACCACCGAAGGUUGAACUGUUGUGACUGAGACCAACAUCUUAUACAACCGGGAACAACUCGAAGACAGCUUUGACAUCUCAACCAAAACGGAAACGUAUCCCCAGUGAUACAGAGCCAGUGUGCAUCAUACAUGUGCCUGGCUUGAAGUAUGGCCCACUACAACAUCUGAGCAAAGCCAAAGAUCCUGAUGAGAAGAUGGAAAAGCUGAAGGAGCGAUCAAAAAGCGCAGAAGGAUGGCAGAACCUCCAGAAACGCCAAAUCAAAUGGAAGUGUCAUGUACAAGCUUGCCGGCAGUUUUGGAAGAAACCCAUGGCUAUCACAGAGAAUAUUAUCUGCGUUUUACAAUGAACCUUGACAGUUUGUAACAACCUGAAAUUGAAUCUUAGGAACUAGCUUGCCGCCCAAUUCAGCGUCCAUCCUAUGAGCCCAUCAUCUUCCAACCUGACUGCAUCUUUUGUACUUUGUAUUCAUAAAAGAAAUUCAAGUCAAAAGGAAGCUGGACAACAGAAGGGCUCACAAACUUCAGUCGGGAUGGAUGGCAGCAUGUCAUUGAAGUAGCUCAACGUCAAAACGAUGAGCCUCUCCUGCCGCGGAUCAGAGGGAAGGAUCUAUUUACCUGUGAAGCAAAAUAUCACUAGUCGUGGCGAACUGUAGCUGUACUGGAACAUGUGUUAGAAGAUUAUAGUGGAAUCAGGCACACGUACCUAGAACAUAUACCGGAUUAAAGGUUUCUGCGAGAA